rnacentral:rRNA from 1 species
AGUUUGAUCCUGGCUCAGGAUGAACGCUGGCGGCGUGCUUAACACAUGCAAGUCGAACGGGAAAUAUUUCAUUGAGACUUCGGUGGAUUUGAUCUAUUUCUAGUGGCGGACGGGUGAGUAACGCGUGGGUAACCUGCCUUAUACAGGGGGAUAACAGUCAGAAAUGGCUGCUAAUACCGCAUAAGCGCACAGAGCUGCAUGGCUCAGUGUGAAAAACUCCGGUGGUAUAAGAUGGACCCGCGUUGGAUUAGCUUGUUGGCAGGGUAACGGCCUACCAAGGCGACGAUCCAUAGCCGGCCUGAGAGGGUGAACGGCCACAUUGGGACUGAGACACGGCCUAGACUCCUACGGGAGGCAGCAGUGGGGAAUAUUGCACAAUGGGGGAAACCCUGAUGCAGCGACGCCGCGUGAAGGAAGAAGUAUCUCGGUAUGUAAACUUCUAUCAGCAGGGAAGAUAGUGACGAUACCUGACUAAGAAGCCCCAGCUAACUACGUGCCAGCAGCCGCGGUAAUACGUAGGGGGCAAGCGUUAUCCGGAUUUACUGGGUGUAAAGGGAGCGUAGACGGUGUGGCAAGUCUGAUGUGAAAGGCAUGGGCUCAACCUGUGGACUGCAUUGGAAACUGUCAUACUUGAGUGCCGGAGGGGUAAGCGGAAUUCCUAGUGUAGCGGUGAAAUGCGUAGAUAUUAGGAGGAACACCAGUGGCGAAGGCGGCUUACUGGACGGUAACUGACGUUGAGGCUCGAAAGCGUGGGGAGCAAACCAGGAUUAGAUACCCUGGUAGUCCACGCCGUAAACGA